rnacentral:rRNA from 1 species
UACGUAGGUGGCAAGCGUUGUCCGGAAUUAUUGGGCGUAAAGCGCGCGCAGGUGGUUUCUUAAGUCGGAUGUGAAAGCCCCGGGCUCAACCUGGGAAUUGCAUUCGAGACUGAAUAGCUAGGGUGCGGUAGAGGGAAGCGGAAUUUCCGGUGUAGCGGUGAAAUGCGUAGAUAUCGGAAGGAACAUCAGUGGCGAAAGCGGCUUCCUGGACCAGCACCGACGUUCAGGCACGAAAGCGUGGGGAGCAAACAGG